GACGGGUGAGUAACGUGUGGGCAACCUGCCCUAUACUGGGGAAUAAUCACUGGAAACGGUGACUAAUACCGCAUGUCAUUACGGAAGGGCAUCCUUCUGUAAGAGAAGGAGUAAUUCGGUAUAGGAUGGGCCCGCAUCUGAUUAGCUAGUUGGUGAGAUAACAGCCCACCAAGGCGACGAUCAGUAGCCGACCUGAGAGGGUGAUCGGCCACAUUGGGACUGAGACACGGCCCAAACUCCUACGGGAGGCAGCAGUGGGGAAUAUUGCACAAUGGGGGAAACCCUGAUGCAGCAACGCCGCGUGAAGGAAGAAGGUUUUCGGAUCGUAAACUUCUAUCAACAGGGACGAAGAAAGUGACGGUACCUGAAUAAGAAGCCCCGGCUAACUACGUGCCAGCAGCCGCGGUAAUACGUAGGGGGCAAGCGUUAUCCGGAAUUACUGGGUGUAAAGGGAGCGUAGGCGGCACGCCAAGCCAGAUGUGAAAGCCCGAGGCUUAACCUCGCGGAUUGCAUUUGGAACUGGCGAGCUAGAGUACAGGAGAGGAAAGCGGAAUUCCUAGUGUAGCGGUGAAAUGCGUAGAUAUUAGGAAGAACACCAGUGGCGAAGGCGGCUUUCUGGACUGAAACUGACGCUGAGGCUCGAAAGCGUGGGGAGCAAACAGGA
rnacentral:rRNA from 1 species